UGCCAGACUCCUACGGGAGGCAGCAGUGGGGGAUAUUGCACAAUGGGGGGAACCCUGAUGCAGCGACGCCGCGUGAGUGAAGAAGUAAUUCGUUAUGUAAAGCUCUAUCAGCAGGGAAGAAAAUGACGGUACCUGAGUAAGAAGCCCCGGCUAACUACGUGCCAGCAGCCGCGGUAAUACGUAGGGGGCAAGCGUUAUCCGGAUUUACUGGGUGUAAAGGGAGCGUAGACGGCAGUGCAAGUCUGGAGUGAAAGGCGGGGGCUCAACCCCCGGACUGCUCUGGAAACUGUACGGCUGGAGUGCAGGAGAGGUAAGUGGAAUUCCUAGUGUAGCGGUGAAAUGCGUAGAUAUUAGGAGGAACACCAGUGGCGAAGGCGGCUUACUGGACUGUAACUGACGUUGAGGCUCGAAAGCGUGGGGAGCAAACAGGAUUAGAUACCCUUGUAAUA
rnacentral:rRNA from 1 species